rnacentral:hammerhead_ribozyme from 1 species
AGCCAACUGACGAGCCCCAAAUUGGACGAAAUGCGAAUCCUGGAU